rnacentral:sRNA from 1 species
AGGUACAAUACGAACUCUCCCGUCUGAAAUGGAAAAAACCCGAUCAGCGCAGGCUGCGUGGGUUGCUAGCUAGCCACACGGACGCAGUUUGGGGCGCCAACCCUUGUCCCCUCACACAGCUUCAGAGUUUUGAUAGCACAAAUGAUAUCAUUAUCCAAGGCCCGCCAGAUCCAGCAAACACUAUUAUCCCGGCUUGUGCUCUGUUACGCCUUUUUGUUCUCCCUUUUGUUGUAGGCUCUCGGUAUUUGCCACAUAGCCUGCGAGGUAUGAAUGACGAGAUAGGAUAUGAAGAUUACUCGCCUUCUACUAGACUCCCGCGUUCUCAUAAGUCUUUCCCCAUGGUUAGAUUCCGCGGUCAUCCCGAUGCUUUUAUUCUGGCGUGCCGCCGGUGGCUUUUUACAGGG